UGUCUCCGUGGAGGAUGGUGGAUUCUGGAGCCAGGAAGCCAGGGAGUAAGCAGGGAAUUAGUGUUUUGGUUUUAACCCCAUAUAUGCUGGAUUUAAUGUAGGGAAACUGGUAUCAGGGUCAGUAUCAAUGUCAUCUGCAAUAAAAUACAGAUCUGCUUCUUCUUUUCCAGUUUGGAGGAUUUUCUUUGUUUUUCUUGUGUGAUUUCUGUAGCUAAUACCUCCAGUACAAUGUUGAAUAGAGUGGUACAACUGGAAAUUCUUGUCUUGUUCCCAAACUUACAGGUAAGGUAUCCUGUCUUUCACUAUUAAGUAUAAUGUUGACUGUAAGGUUUUCAAAGAUGUCUUUUAGCAGGUCUCAGAAGUUUCCUUCUAUCAGUACUUUUUAGGUGGUUUAUCAUGAAUGGGUUUUGGAUCAGUCAAAUGUUUUUCUGUGUCUACUAAAUUGAUAAUUUCUUAUACUUUAUUCAAAUAAUACUGUGUAUUACCUUGAUUGGUUUUUGGCUAUUAAGCCAAAAUUGCUUUUGUGAGAAAAACCCACUUGGUCAUGUAUGUAAUCAUUUUUAUAUGUUGCUGUAUUCAAUCAGCUAGUAUUUUAUGACAAGUUCUGUGCCUAUAUUAAUAUGGGAUAUUGGUUCAUAAUCUUCUUUAUUUUCAUGCUUUUGUCUUGCUUUGCUCUCAUGUUAAAACUGGCCUCGCAGAAUGAAUUGGGAAGUGUUAACUCUUCUUCUAUUUUUGGAAGAUUUUGUGAAGAAUUGGUAUUAAAUCUUCAUUAAAUGUUGGUAGAAUUUACCAUUUAAGCUAUUGAGUGUGGGCUUUCUUUUGUGUAACUAUUUCUAGUUAACAUUUCAUCUUUACAUGUUAUAUGACUAUUCAUAUAUUCUAUUUCUUUAGAAUAUAUACACAGGUAUACCUUGGAGAUAUUGCAGGUUUGGUUCCAGACCACCACAAUAAAGCAAAUAUCACAAUAAAAAGCCUCCAGCUGGAUAACUCCAUGAGGCCUGAACUAAAUGAAAUCACCUGUGAGAUGUGGUAGAAGCUGGUGCUUUUGCAGAAAGCAAGGCCAAGAAGAGAAGGACUGUGAUUGGGGAGGAUGCUGUUCCUUCACACUGUAUCCAUUCAAGAGUGUCGCAAAGGGAAGAGGUCCCUAACAACUGCCAUGUCUGUAAAGAGCUUCUUGACUGUAUUAGUUAUCUAUUGCUGUUGUUAAGAAGAAACAACAGGUCCAAGAUGGAGUCACUUGUCCUAAGCCCCAUCAAGACUUAAUACCUAACCUAACCACAGUUUCAGGCUCUCCCAGGAGUGGAGUUUGAAAGCAAUCAGUCUGGAAUUUCUUGGCCAGCACUAGUGAGGGAAUCUGCCUGAUAGGACCCCCUGCCUCCUCCUAAGGGAAGAUGGCCUUGCCUGAAAUAAUCCACUCUUUUAACUUCCUUGUCCCACCUUCUUUCUGCCUAUAAAAACCUCCCAUUUUGUACACUCCUUGGUGCUCCCUUCUGUUUGCUACAUGGGAUGCUGCGUGACUCAUGAAUCACUUAAUAAAGCCAAUUAGAUCUUCAAAUUUA